rnacentral:rRNA from 1 species
UCCCCGCACAAGCAGCGGAGCGUGUGGUUUAAUUCGAUGCUACACGAAGAACCUUACCUGGGUUUGACAUAGAGGUAGUAGGGAAGCGAAAGCGGACCGACCUUCGGGGAGCCUCUACAGGUGUUGCAUGGCUGUCGUCAGCUCGUGUCGUGAGAUGUUCGGUUAAGUCCGCUAACGAGCGCAACCCUCGCUGUGUGUUACAAGUGUCACACGGUACUGCCGAUAUUAAAGUCGGAGGAAGGUGGGGAUGACGUCAAGUCAGCAUGACCUUUAUAUCCAGGGCUACACACACGCUACAAUGGCCAGUACAAUGGGUUGCCAAGCCGCGAGGCGGAGCCAAUCCUAAAAAGCUGGCCUCAGUUCAGAUUGCAGUCUGCAACUCGACUGCAUGAAGUUGGAGUUGCUAGUAACCGCAGGUCAGCAAUACUGCGGUGAAUACGUUCCCGGGGAUU